ACCCUACGGGGGGCAGCAGUGGGGAAUAUUGUGCAAUGGGGGAAACCCUGACGCAGCAACGCCGCGUGCGGGAUGAAGGCUUUCGGGUUGUAAACCGCUUUCAGCAGGGAAGAUAAUGACGGUACCUGCAGAAGAAGCCCCGGCUAACUACGUGCCAGCAGCCGCGGUAAUACGUAGGGGGCAAGCGUUAUCCGGAUUCAUUGGGCGUAAAGCGCGCGCAGGCGGGCCGCUAAGCGGGACCUCUAAUCUUGGGGCUCAACCUCCAGCCGGGUCCCGGACGUGCAGCCUUGAGUGCGGUAGGGGGG
rnacentral:rRNA from 1 species